CAAUCAAACCGGGAGAUAGCUGGUUCUCCCCGAAAGCUAUUUAGGUAGCGCCUCGUGAAUUCAUCUCCGGGGGUAGAGCACUGUUUCGGCUAGGGGGCCAUCCCGGCUUACCAACCCGAUGCAAACUGCGAAUACCGGAGAAUGUUAUCACGGGAGACACACGGCGGGUGCUAACGUCCGUCGUGAAGAGGGAAACAACCCAGACCGCCAGCUAAGGUCCCAAAGUCAUGGUUAAGUGGGAAACGAUGUGGGAAGGCCCAGACAGCCAGGAUGUUGGCUUAGAAGCAGCCAUCAUUUAAAGAAAGCGUAAUAGCUCACUGGUCGAGUCGGCCUGCGCGGAAGAUGUAACGGGGCUAAACCAUGCACCGAAGCUGCGGCAGCGAACGUAUCACCCAAGACAACUUUACGGAGUUGACGAUUGACGGAGCGAAGCGACGUCAAAGCGUUCAUUAAAGUCGAGUUGGCUUAGGGAUACGUUCGUUGGGUAGGGGAGCGUUCUGUAAGCCUGUGAAGGUGUGUCGUGAGGCAUGCUGGAGGUAUCAGAAGUGCGAAUGCUGACAUAAGUAACGAUAAAGCGGGUGAAAAGCCCGCUCGCCGGAAGACCAAGGGUUCCUGUCCAACGUUAAUCGGGGCAGGGUGAGUCGACCCCUAAGGCGAGGCCGAAAGGCGUAGUCGAUGGGAAACGGGUUAAUAUUCCCGUACUUGGUGUUACUGCGAAGGGGGGACGGAGAAGGCUAUGUUGGCCGGGCGACGGUUGUCCCGGUUUAAGCGUGUAGGUGUGUGUUCCAGGUAAAUCCGGUUCACUUUAACACUGAGGCGUGACGACGAGG
rnacentral:rRNA from 1 species